AAAAUUUAUUAUAUCUGUACUUCUCCAACCUGCCAUGGUAGAGGAUUUACAUUAAAUAAUGUAUUUACUCUGACAGCAGAAUGCAAUGAUAUUUGCAAGUACUUGACUGCAAGAAGAGGAAUAUCAUUGGGAAGAAAUGAAGAUAAUGUGACUUCUGUGAAUAUUCAUGAACAAGAAGAUGGAAGUGCUGUGGGGAUUUCUGGGAUCCUUGAAGAAGGUCCGGAGUCAAUAUCCUCGAUGAUUAAUCCUAUUCGAGAAGAUGCUG